rfam:Operophtera brumata OBRT01_Sc04859, whole genome shotgun sequence.
UAAAAGGCUCUUUUCAGAGCCACGUAUUUACUCAGGGUGCCCAAG